UCCGUGAUUGGUCAGGAGGGGCUGUGUUACAAAACCUGCGCAGGAAAGUUUCAUAACCUCGGAAGAGACGUAAUGAAGUUGAUAAACUCUGCAGAUUUUCAAUAGAUCAGGACUCUGGAUAUCCUUCUUCUGACUGGUAACUUUGUACAUUUGGCUCAUUUUUAGCUCUUUUUAAACACAGCUUGAUUGAAAGGAUGCAGAUGUGGAAAAAUUGAGAAAAUCCAACUAGAACAGCUGAAUUUUAUUUCCAGGUUAUCAGAUUCGCUUAAACUGAAGAAGUAUGAAAUUCCGAAAAUAAAUCAGAAGGUGCCCCAGCAAAGUAUUACUUAAAGAAUGUGCAUGCAAAUAUAUGCUAUUGUACCUUUUUAUUUAUUUACUUACUUAUUUAUUCAUGAGAUUUUUCACUUAACAGGUUUGUUCGUUUAUCAGAUACAAAUUUGUGAUGAACGUAAGGUGACGUUAUACGUGACAAAAGAUUUUAAACGUUUCUAAAUGAUUUACCGUGGUCUUAUUUUUUUACAUCACAAAACCCCUUUCUACCUGAAUUUAUCUCUCUUUCUAAACAUUGUCACUGAUUCUAAAGUAAGAGACUUUUGAAUAUACAUGUAGUAAUUUAGUAUGAAAUUAUAUAUAACUGAGCAUAGCUCUGACUACAUGGCAGUUAAGUGCUUCUAAUAUAAUCUUAACUUGUGGUUUUGGGAUGAAUUUCUUACAAUAAUCUGCAAGGGAUUGACAGGGGAUGCAACUUUGAGAUAAUUCAUCAAUGAAAUGUUGAGUAAUUGGUGAACAAAUAGUUUGAAAGUGUCAGGUUACCAGUUGGAUAAAAGAUAGAAAGGCAACUUAUUCUCCACCAUGUUGCGAUGCUGCACAAUAGUGUUCUCCUUGACCAUCCUCCUAUUUUGGGAUAUACAUUUUUGUGUGAGAUACCGUUGCAACCUAGGACAUGAAGAGAGAAAUAAUAGCAAAAACAACUCUUAAAAUUGGUUUGUGCAUUGGUUAUCAGCUUCAUUUUCUCUGACGUCUCUAAUGUGCUUUAAAUCCCAAAUUAUCAGGUUUCUAGAACAUCCUUCUUUUUCACAUGCAAAUAAAGCUGAGACUGAAGUAAAUGUA